rnacentral:rRNA from 1 species
UAUGACUCCUCAUCGCAUGGUGGGGGGUGGAAAGCUUUUUGUGGUUUUGGAUGGACUCGCGGCCUAUCAGCUUGUUGGUGAGGUAAUGGCUCACCAAGGCGACGACGGGUAGCCGGCCUGAGAGGGUGACCGGCCACACUGGGACUGAGACACGGCCCAGACUCCUACGGGAGGCAGCAGUGGGGAAUAUUGCACAAUGGGCGCAAGCCUGAUGCAGCGACGCCGCGUGAGGGAUGACGGCCUUCGGGUUGUAAACCUCUUUCAGUAGGGAAGAAGCCGCAAGGUGACGGUACCUGCAGAAGAAGCGCCGGCUAACUACGUGCCAGCAGCCGCGGUAAUACGUAGGGCGCAAGCGUUAUCCGGAAUUAUUGGGCGUAAAGAGCUCGUAGGCGGUUUGUCGCGUCUGCCGUGAAAGUCCGGGGCUCAACUCCGGAUCUGCGGUGGGUACGGGCAGACUAGAGUGAUGUAGGGGAGACUGGAAUUCCUGGUGUAGCGGUGAAAUGCGCAGAUAUCAGGAGGAACACCGAUGGCGAAGGCAGGUCUCUGGGCAUUAACUGACGCUGAGGAGCGAAAGCAUGGGGAGCGAACAGGAUUAGAUACCCUGGUAGUCCAUGCCGU